rnacentral:rRNA from 1 species
CUUUGGAAAGGAAUAGCCUCGGGAAACUGGGAGUAAUGCCUUAUAAGAUACGUUUGUCGCAUGGCAUUUGUAUUAAGCGCUCCGGCGCCAUAGGAUGGACCCGCGUCCCAUUAGCUAGUUGGUGAGAUAACAGCUCACCAAGGCCACGAUGGGUAACCGGUCUGAGAGGGCGAACGGUCACACUGGAACUGAGACACGGUCCAGACUCCUACGGGAGGCAGCAGUGGGGAAUAUUGCGCAAUGGGGGCAACCCUGACGCAGCAAUACCGCGUGAGUGAAGAAGGUUUUCGGAUCGUAAAGCUCUGUUAAUGGGGAAGAAAAAAAGACGGUACCCAAGAAGAAAGUUCCGGCUAACUACGUGCCAGCAGCCGCGGUAAUACGUGGGGAACAAGCGUUGUCCGGAUUUACUGGGCGUAAAGGGCACGCAGGCGGUUUUUUAAGUCAGAUGUGAAAGGCCACAGCUCAACUGUGGACAUGCAUUUGAAACUGAAAGACUUGAGUAUUGGAGAGGCAAGUGGAAUUCCUAGUGUAGCGGUGAAAUGCGUAGAUAUUAGGAGGAACACCGGUGGCGAAGGCGGCUUGCUGGACAAAUACUGACGC